AGGCGGGUCCUACUCCUGACGUCCUUCAAGCCCAUUGGCUCAAAUUACCAUCGAGCAAAGAAGGGGUAGGAUGUAAUACACUUACGUUGAGCCCGUCAUAGAGGCUCUUGACGUCACGCGUUACCUAGUACCACAAAAAAGACAGGCUAUUCAUGGAGCUUUGAGAAAAGCAGCCUAAUUUCCUGGGAAAAGCAAAGCCGAAUUCUGUACCCUGAUUGGACACACCGCUGGUUUUUCAUAUGAGAGUCACACAUAAACAUACUCGCACGCAUAUACAGAAAGUAUACAGUAUGCCCAUGCAACUUCAGCCCCCUCUCUCCCUCUUUUAGAAACAGGUCUCAGAUGAAGAACUUUUGACAUUGCAGAGUGCUAUUGCUUAACGUGGCGUUCAGAGGCGGGUUUGCACAACAAACAGAUGUUCUUUGAUGUCAGCUGCAGUGAGGGGGAGGCAAAAAAUGGGAACGCUAAAAAGAAGUAGGAGGAAGGUGUCAGAACUCUAAUCACCAUGCAUCACUCAGAAAAAAAAUCUAUUGUAUCUCUUAGCACAAACACUGGUUUGUAUUCACCAUAACCUUGCCCAUUAUAGAAUGUAAAAUUCACUUGAUUUGUUAUAUCACUAAGAAUGUAUUCAAAUUGUUUUAAACUGUGUAUUGCCUUGGCAUUUCUUUUAGGAUUACAAAGCUGACAGUGACCUGUUACACUGACCUUAUCUUCUCUUUAAAUAGGCUUUGAGUCACAGUUACAACGUUGGCUCGCUGAUCCAGAGAAGCUAAAUUACACAGGCUGUCAACCAAACCAAUGUAGAGCUCCGUUCGGGCUCGUAGUAAAUUAUGUAAAAGAGCCUAACAGCAAGAAAACGACCGUGCCAUUUACUGUCACUUCAGAGAAUUUGUAUUAUGACAUUUCACGAACACUUGGCCAAUUACACUGGAUAGAUCUAUUGCAUAAACUAAAUAAUAGUUUCUCCACUCCAGCUAUGUGACUUAGUUAUUCAUUAAACCACCCACAUCACAAGUGCACAAUACAGCUCAGGACAUGUACUCCAUGAACAGCUCAUUUAGGUUAGCAUGUGUGUGUCAGCACUGUGUAUAAGUUAUAGACCCGCAUGCCUACAAAACCAGUAGUAUUUUCCAAAACACAUAACAUAACAUGUCACAAUUUAUUUCCACUGCAGUCAGCCUAGUAGAUGCUACUGACGGUGUAAAGAGUACUGGUGUUUGUUAUGCUAUCAUAUUACAACAAAUCUAUGUAAUAUCUAUAUUUUUUUCCUUUUGAAACAAAUACAUGUUUAUCUGUUGACCGCAUGAUUCAUUUUAAAUUUGAACCACUUAUAAUUUAUUUUAAAAUGAAUCACUAAGAAUUUGUAAUAAUAACUAUAUAUUUUUAAAAUAAAUUUCCACAAUUUUAAUACAGAAACACACCUUAUCGGCCAUCUCUCUGAAUCUUUUGAGAUGCUAUCCUAGACCUUUUACACUACUACAAAUAUAGUAUGAAAAAUCAGAAAUACAGUUUAGCCUAAGAUCAUAAGGGUAUAUAGAUUUUGUUUGGAUAAAAGAUGCACGCUGUGUAAUGUCUCUUUAGUUCAGGCUCAUUUCCAAUACUAACGGAUGUUAACAUUUUCAACUGCAAUAUUGGUUACAGUUUAAUCAGACCUCCAUUCGCUGACCGACAUUUUAGCUUUAACAAGUCAGCUGCCUUUGUGAUGGAAGAACUGUCAUAAGGUGCAAUAAAAACACUCACACACGCAUAACUAUCUGGCAUUGAGGGUGUGACGUGUCAAGACAUGUAGGCAUUACCAUUGUCUAGGUUGAAGUACUGUAUGGUAUCUUAUCUUGACAAUAAGAAAGAGGAAUGUCCCAUCAGUAACUAAAUGGUUCACCAAUAAAUGAAAAAUCAUUUACUCAUGUUACUCCAAUCUAUAUGACUUUUUUCUGUUUAGAAUGUUUCCACUGCUGCUUUCUGUACAGUUAAAGUGAAAGUUGACUGGCUUCAAGUUUUGCCAUGUUUAUCACAUAAUGCCAUUGUAAGACUAGUUCUUAUGGUGUUUCUUAUCCUUUUUGAAGAUAUGCUGCUCAUGGUCACUGUAUAUAUUCACUGCAUUCAUAUUUUUGUAUUCUAUGGAGGAAAGAAGUCAAACAGGACUUGGAACAAUAUCAUAUUUGGGCAUACUCUUUUGAUAUUCAGUAACAUACUGACAGUCCUUCUGAAAUUGAAUGAGUUUGAACUGUUUUACAGUGCUUCCUGAAGAAGAGGAGAUGCAACAGAAACGUGUCCUUGUUGGCACGUCUAUGACUUCAAUCUGGCAUGUGGCUUUGUCUUUACUGCAGUGGCAGUUGCUCGCCCCGAGGCAUUGUCAUUUGAAGUUGAGAAAGAG